rnacentral:rRNA from 1 species
AAGCGUAGGAGGCGAGCGUUAUCCGGAUUUACUGGGCGUAGAGCGUGUGUAGGCGGUUUGAUAAGUUGGAUGUGAAAGCUCCCGGCUCAACUGGGAGAGGUCGUUCAAAACUAUCAGACUCGAGAGUGGUAGAGGGAGGUGGAAUUCCGCGUGUAGUGGUGAAAUGCGUAGAUAUGCGGAGGAACACCAGUGGCGAAAGCGGCCUCCUGGCCCAUUUCUGACACUCAGACGCGAAAGCUAGGGUAGC